GACAGAGGGUGCAAACGUUGUUCGGAAUUACUGGGCGUAAAGCGCGUGUAGGCGGCUAAGUAAGUCGGGCGUGAAAUCCCACGGCUCAACCGUGGAAGUGCACUCGAAACUGCAUAGCUAGAGUCCUGGAGAGGAAGGUGGAAUGCUUGGUGUAGAGGUGAAAUUCGUAGAUAUCAAGCGGAACACCGGUGGCGAAGGCGGCCUUCUGGGACAGUGACGUGACGCUGAGACGCGAAAGCGUGGGGAGCAAACAGGGAUUAAGAA
rnacentral:rRNA from 1 species